rnacentral:rRNA from 1 species
CCUACGGGAGGCAGCAGUGGGGAAUAUUGCACAAUGGGCGAAAGCCUGAUGCAGCAACGCCGCGUGAGCGAUGAAGGCCUUCGGGUCGUAAAGCUCUGUCCUCAAGGAAGAUAAUGACGGUACUUGAGGAGGAAGCCCCGGCUAACUACGUGCCAGCAGCCGCGGUAAUACGUAGGGGGCUAGCGUUAUCCGGAAUUACUGGGCGUAAAGGGUGCGUAGGUGGUUUCUUAAGUCAGAGGUGAAAGGCUAGGGCUCAACCGUAGUAAGCCUUUGAAACUGGGGAACUUGAGUGCAGGAGAGGAGAGUGGAAUUCCUAGUGUAGCGGUGAAAUGCGUAGUUAUUAGGAGGAACACCAGUUGCGAAGGCGGCUCUCUGGACUGUAACUGACACUGAGGCACGAAAGCGUGGGGAGCAAACAGGAUUAGAUACCCGGGUAGUC